GCUGAGCCUGAUGCGGUCCGGCGCUUUGCCGCGUUGUUGCCGCAGCGUGCAGGACUGGGCACCGCGUUCGGCGCGCGGCUUCGGCU
rnacentral:tRNA from 1 species